GACGAACGCUGGCGGCGUGCUUAACACAUGCAAGUCGAACGGUAAGGCCCUUCGGGGUACACGAGUGGCGAACGGGUGAGUAACACGUGGGUAAUCUGCCCUGCACAUCGGGAUAAGCCUGGGAAACUGGGUCUAAUACCGAAUAGGACCACAGGACACAUGUCCUGUGGUGGAAAGCUUUUGCGGUGUGGGAUGGGCCCGCGGCCUAUCAGCUUGUUGGUGGGGUGAUGGCCUACCAAGGCGACGACGGGUAGCCGGCCUGAGAGGGUGUCCGGCCACACUGGGACUGAGAUACGGCCCAGACUCCUACGGGAGGCAGCAGUGGGGAAUAUUGCACAAUGGGCGAAACCCUGAUGCAGCGACGCCGCGUGGGGGAUGACGGCCUUCGGGUUGUAAACCUCUUUCACCAUCGACGAAGGUCCGGGUUUUCUCGGGCUGACGGUAGGUGGAGAAGAAGCACCGGCCAACUACGUG
rnacentral:rRNA from 1 species